GACCGUUCUGGCAGCCUAGUGGUUAGAGCGUCCGCCUCAGAUGAGGGAGGUCGUGGGUUCGAUCCCCUGCCGAGUCA